AGCGAACGCUGGCGGCAGGCCUAACACAUGCAAGUCGAACGAAGUCUUCGGACUUAGUGGCGGACGGGUGAGUAACACGUGGGAACGUGCCUUUAGGUUCGGAAUAACUCAGGGAAACUUGUGCUAAUACCGAAUGUGCCCUUCGGGGGAAAGAUUUAUCGCCUUUAGAGCGGACCGCGUCUGAUUAGCUAGAUGGUGAGGUAAAGGCUCACCAAGGCUACGAUCAGUAGCUGGUCUGAGAGGAUGACCAGCCACAUUGGGACUGAGACACGGCCCAAACUCCUACUGGAGGCAGCAGUGGGGAAUCUUGCGCAAUGGGCGAAAGCCUGACGCAGCCAUGCCGCGUGGAUGAUGAAGGUCUUAGGAUUGUAAAAUCCUUUCACCGGUGAAGAUAAUGACUGUAGCCGGAGAAGAAGCCCCGGCUAACUUCGUGCCAGCCGCCGCCGUAACAC
rnacentral:rRNA from 1 species